GCAGCGUACCGGUCUGUCGCUCGUGCGAAACAAAACGGGAGGAAAGUCCGGGCAACACAGAGCGCCACGCUUCUUAACGGGAAGCUGUUCGCAAGGGCAGAGUAGCGUAACAGAAAAUAACCGCAAGCCCCUCUUUCUCUCCACUUUAUGGGGAAGGGAUGGGGGGAGGUUGUAAGGGUGAAAAGGUGAGGUAAGAGCUUACCGCUUCCGGCGGAAUCCGGAGGGUCGGUACGCCUCGUGGGUUGCAAGGUCAAAUAAACCGACGCAUUUAGAGUUGCUCGCUCAAUGUCGGAGGGUGGACUGCUAACGGAAUUUGUCAGCAAUGACAAAUCAAGAUAAAUGACAGACGCAUCAUUGCCCAUAAGCGUGAUGAACAGAACCCGGCUUACAGGUAGGCUGCUUUU
rnacentral:RNase_P_RNA from 1 species